rnacentral:rRNA from 1 species
GACGAACGCUGGCGGCGUGCUUAACACAUGCAAGUCGAACGGUAAGGCCCUUCGGGGUACACGAGUGGCGAACGGGUGAGUAACACGUGGGUGAUCUGCCCUGCACUUCGGGAUAAGCCUGGGAAACUGGGUCUAAUACCGGAUAGGACUCCUGGCUUCAUGGUUGGGGGUGGAAAGCUUUUGCGGUGUGGGAUGGGCCCGCGGCCUAUCAGCUUGUUGGUGGGGUAAUGGCCUACCAAGGCGACGACGGGUAGCCGGCCUGAGAGGGUGACCGGUCACACUGGAAAUAAGAUACGGCCCAGACUCCUACGGGAGGCAGCAGUGGGGAAUAUUACACAAUGGGCGCAAGCCUGAUGCAGCGACGCCGCGUGAGGGAUGACGGCCUUCGGGUUGUAAACCUCUUUCAGCUAUGACGAAGCGCAAGUGACGGUAGUAGCAGAAGAAGGACCGGCCAACUACGUGCCAGCAGCCGCCGCGG